CCUACGGGGGGCAGCAGUAGGGAAUCUUCGGCAAUGGACGAAAGUCUGACCGAGCAACGCCGCGUGAGUGAAGAAGGUUUUCGGAUCGUAAAACUCUGUUGGUAGAGAAGAACGUUAGGGAGAGUGGAAAGCUCAUCAAGUGACGGGAACUACCCAGAAAGGGACGGCGAAGUACGUGCCAGCAGCCGCGGGAAUACGUAGGUCCCGAGCGUUGUCGGGUUUUAUUGGGCGGAAAGCGCGCGCAGGUGGUUUCUUAAGUCUGGUGUAAAAGGCCGUGGCUCAACCAUUGGAUGCAUUGGACACUGGUAGCCUUGAGUUCAGUCGAGGUGAGUGGAAUUCCAUGUGUAGCCGUGAACUGCGUAGAUAUAUGGAGGAACACCGGUUGCGAACGCGGCUCUCUGGCCUGUACCUGACACUGAGGCUCGAAAGCGUGGGGAGCAAACAGGAUUAGCUACCCUGGUAGUC
rnacentral:rRNA from 1 species